AUUGAACGCUGGCGGCAUGCCUUACACAUGCAAGUCGAACGGCAGCACGGGUGCUUGCACCUGGUGGCGAGUGGCGAACGGGUGAGUAAUACAUCGGAACAUGUCCUUGAGUUGGGGAUAGCCCGGCGAAAGCCGGAUUAAUACCGCAUACGAUCUACGGAUGAAAGCGGGGGGCCUUCGGGCCUCGCGCUAUAGGGUUGGCCGAUGGCUGAUUAGCUAGUUGGGGGGGUAAAGGCCUACCAAGGCGACGAUCAGUAGCUGGUCUGAGAGGACGACCAGCCACACUGGGACUGAGACACGGCACAGACUCCUACGGGAGGCAGCAGUGGGGAAUGUUGGACAAUGGGCGAAAGCCUGAUCCAGCAAUGCCGCGUGUGUGAAGAAGGCCUUCGGGUUGUAAAGCACUUUUGUCCGGAAAGAAAUCCUUGGCCCUAAUACGGUCGGGGGAUGACGGUACCGGAAGAAUAAGCACCGGCUAACUACGUG
rnacentral:rRNA from 1 species